GUGGGAUUCAUCCAGGUCUCAGCCAUUACCAGGCACCGUGGGAGCAAAGAGACAUCAACAUCUGCAUUACAAGUUGGGAAUUUAAAAGGAAAAACUGAAGUCACAGGAAAGCAAAUCCUGCCUUGCCUGGUUUUGAUCACUUGACAUACUCAGGCCCAAAUUCCUCAAAGUAAAUAUUUCCUACGAAGAUCA